UACAGAGGGGGCAAGCGUUAUUCGGAAUUAUUGGGCGUAAAGGGCGCGUAGGCGGCUUGGCAAGUGGAAGGUGAAAUCCCUCGGCUCAACUGAGGAACUGCCUUCCAGACUGCUUUGCUUGAGUCCGGGAGAGGUGAGUGGAAUUCCCAGUGUAGCGGUGAAAUGCGUAGAUAUUGGGAGGAACACCAGUGGCGAAGGCGGCUCACUGGACCGGAACUGACGCUGAGGCGCGAAAGCGUGGGGAGCGAUCCGG
rnacentral:rRNA from 1 species